rnacentral:lncRNA from 1 species
AGAUUGAACUUUUGUUCUUCUUUUCAAGUACUGACACUAUAUAUAUGAGCACUGUUUGUGUCCUUGCACAGACAUUUUCCACAAACAGAUGACAUGCACAAAUUAUAGCUUUUUGUACUGAACGUGCCCCAAAUUUUGAACUGUCUAGGUGUUGCAAGCAAAGUUCCUGAAAAGUGAACUUUAGAUUUGUUUCAUCUCCACAUUUUUUCUGAACUACACUAGCCACAUAAUUUACAUCAACUUUUUUUCACAUGCGAAUAUGAACAGCAGCGAAUAAACAUUUGAGUAAUUCACAAGCACAAAAUACAAUGCAAUUCUUUUCCACACAUUUGCGACGGUGUCUUCAUUUUUAGUAGAUGAGAUAGUAGUAUAGGAGUUUAGCUUCAGUUUAAAAAAGAAGAGAAAGAUGGAAAAAUAGUAGUUAUAAUUCUUGUAGGCAUUUCGACAAACAGUGGAUGGGCACCCGGGGGGGAGGCAUGGGGAUCAUGCACUCGAUUCUACUUGGACUGUUGUCUGUGUAGAAAAUACAGAAAAUACAUGUAGACUGGGCACACCGGGAUUUGGCCGCUAUUGGGGAUCUGCUACCCCUACUCCUGUGGACUGACGACUCCGGUGAAGUGGAGCUGAUGGAGGCGGGGUUCACGAGCAGCGGCUGGGCGCGCCAGGAUUUGGCUCUGUAAAGAUGAAGUGCAAAUCACAUUAAAGGUGAACUAAAAAUCUUCCUAGCAACCUCGUCCAAUUGCAUUACUCAUAACAUGAUCUGUAGAGAGACUUACAUCCCAAAUAAAAUACAUGCAGAGAUGGGCGGCCACCAGCUUGUUUAUAUCAGAAAUUUUAAGAAGCCAAUGAACUUCCGCAUGACAAGUAGAUCAAUACAGCAUGCAACUUAUGUAGUUGCUUAACUCUAAACACAUGGUCAAAAUUUCAGUCACUUAAGAACUAUAACAAUAAAGCAUUAACACACUGAUUUACUUGUUUCACUAUUAAAAAUGGGUUUCAAACACAACUUCUAAGCAGACAGUGCUUACUUUUGCUCUCCCACUUGGACUGAACAGGCAAAAACAGAACACUCACUUGCGCUAACAAUCCGGAAAUCCAAUGAACACAAAAAAACCUAGAAUUAUUCUGAUACCUCGUAUGUCGCUUC